AUGACCUGCCUUAUCUGUUUCCACACUUGUUGCUAGAAGGUGAUUUCCACUUUAUGAGCCUUGGAGGCUUAAGUAUUUGGCUAUUCUAUGUGUUACAAAACAACUUGGAUGAGUCACAUAUGGUGUCAUCUAAACAGAUGAUGUCAUGCAUAUUUCACAAUGCCUAGCAGUAUGCAGGUCGAACAGUGUCUAAUUUACUCAUCCUGCCUGCAUCAGUAUGCUGUAAUUGUGAUUUGUAACUGAAGUAAUUGACCUGACCAGAGCUAUGUUUGUAAGCAUUAAUGUGCCUCGUAUGAUACCUGUUUGUCACACCCACAGCUUCCCACUGCCAGACUGGACACAUUAACAUACAGCGCAAUGAGUGGCACACCUGGCGUUGUGUGUGUGCGUCUCCAUCCAUGCGUGAGUGGUGUGUCGGCGGAGCUAUGAAUGGGCAGAGAGGGGUGUUCUCUCACAGACACCAUAGCAGCAGUGAGAUGAGGAGUGCCAUCUACUCCACUGCACGUCUGCUGCACUGAGAGAAGAAGAAAAAGAAGCAAGAAGGGGGAAAAGGAGUAGUUGUUCAACCAGAGGACAAGGUGAUCCCUCCUAAACCUGCAUCAGCACUGAGGAAAAACCUUCAAGUCAGCCAUGGAGCAGAAAGCUAAUGAGUGUCCCACCACCACCUCUCCUCAGAAGCACAUGAAGAAUAGGUCUAAAUCCACAGAGGAGAUGCAGCAGUCGAAGAAGGCCUUUGCUUCACAAAAAUCCCUGCCAGGCCGACCAGAGCUGGACAGAGUGAAGGAGUGUCCUGAUGGCUCUGACACGCCUUCAUCCUCCAGUGAAGAACUAAAGUGAUAAAAAAAACAGCAGGACAAUAAAGCUGCAAUUAAACUAUAAAACCAUAAACAUAAAUGUACAUAUGUACACAGGGAAAUGUGCAGAAAAUUGAGGAUAAUAGCAAGUUAGAAAAUAAAACAAACAAGCCAUGAAUUUAAGAAGAGCUUAAGGAAAAUGUAUAUAAAGCAUCGAUUCACAUUCAGACUCAAAAACACACCGAGACAAUCGCAUGUAAACAAAAGGACACCUGUGAUGAUGCUGUUUCAUUGUGCUGUGAGUGGUGUCUACAUAGCAACUGAAUGUGUAGUGACAAUAAAGUGAUGUUGUGUGUGCUGAAACACCGUAGAACUGUUUGUCAGGUUCCUUUAAAGAGUUCAACUUAAUAAAGCUACAAUUUAAGACUUUUACUGAGGAAGCCAGACCUCUGACAGGUGAAUAAAAUGCCUGAAAAUGACUUCCAAUGAAAUCAUUUGAAUUUCAACAGAGGUUAUUCCAUCACUGCAUCCUUUGGAAGCCCCAGUUUAACAAUAACAUCAGAAUAAAAUGUAGCUUUAUCAUCCACCAGAGGGGCAAAUUCUUAUACUAACACACAAAAGCAGUUUAACUGUUAAAAUAUUUAAUUGUGACACUAACUAUAGAAAAGAAUAAGCAUUUCUGCAAGGUGGCUAGAUCAGAGCUGCUUCAUCACUCAUUGUGCUGUAAGUAUAAAAUAAAAACCAGUGGAGUAACUUGUAAAUGUUUAUUUGCACUUGGUAUACAAUAUUUUUUAUUUGCCAAAGGCGCCGCUCAGAGGUCAUAAUCUCAAACUGAGGAAAUAGAGGAAAUGUCUGUCUGGAUGCUCAUGGAUACACAGGUUUUUCAGCCUUAUCUGGCAUUUCCCAGUUAUGUUGCUGCAGCUGAGGCAUUCAAACAAUGAUGUCAAGUCACGUGUAAAAAUGCAACUAAGAUUUUAGGAUUUAAUUUGAAGUUAUAUGCAUUUCUUUGGAACAUGGUUAAUACUGAAUGGUUCUGCACAUUAAACAAGCUAAAUAUGACAAGGUUUGUUAUGAAAUUCUGCUCUGUACAGUAUUGUCAAUAUUUAUCUCCAAAUUAGUGCUGUAAUUAGCAGAUAUUUUUCACUUGCUAAUCUGAUAAUUUGUUUGGC
ensembl:lncRNA